rnacentral:piRNA from 1 species
UGCUGGAUAAAGGAUUACUCACGGUUAGAC